AAUAGAUUGGCAGAUUAGUGCAAUUGAUUUAGGAUCAAUAAAUAGAAAACGUUCUAUCUAUUA
rnacentral:tRNA from 1 species